rnacentral:lncRNA from 1 species
AAGAAAAAAGACACGUGGAAGAGGUGGCCUUGGGAAAGGUUAAAGCAACCGCCCGACAUUGGCUUGCGUAGGCUGAUCUGGGUCUGUUGGGUUGAACCCCGAAAUGGCAGACCCCUUGUAUCUCGGCGCUUAUUUUUUUUUUCUUUAUCCACAAUGAUUCAACCACAAUAUCAAAUAUAUAGUAUCUAUCCUCAUUAUUAGUAUAUUCAAUAACCUUUUAUAUUAGUUUUUUAAAGCGAAUUUUCCCGAUGCAAGGUGCUUCAAUCCCACUAUUAUGAGCUCCGAAGCAAGUACAUUGUACAAUUUGGAUUUAUUUCACACUAAUUCAGCUUCAAAUUGGUAGGAUGCAUGCAUUAGCAGCCACCAGCAUUGAAUGUACGGAUUAAAGAUGGAUAAUCAACUUUUUUGGCCUCUUUUUAAAAGCCUUCCAUUUUCCCGUCAUGUCAUAUUUUUUUUUAGAAAGAACAAGUUCUCAGCAAAACAUUGUGAGCUUAUUUUAUUAGAGAUGCAUAUCCGAGACAGGAUUAGAAAGAUUUGCAUUUAAAUUAUUGAAAUGUAUGAUUGGUGGGAGGGGCUGAGUGAUAAUUGAAGCAGCCCCACCCACCACCUAUCUGGGAAGCUUCAUCCUCAUUGGGUUGGCGCACCACACCUUCCUCUACCAAAACCCAAUUUUAAUACGAUUUUAACACAUUCAUCCAAUCAUGGCGCUCACCAGAUCUACCUUAGAAUGCCUUUCUUUUUAAUUCUAUAUUUGCCCUUUGUUGACGAUGUGCCCUUUUUCAAAAGUCCCCUGCGUGGUUGUUUGCCUUUUUGACCCUUCCUUGCAAUCCAAUUUAACAACAUAGCCGAGGUUUCAAUAUUUACACCGACGCCCUGUUCCUUUUAAAGUACACUAGAAAGUGGGUUUUUAUAUGCACCCAGAUACUUAAUGGAAAAAAGGGAAAAAUCAAAUAUCUCAAGAUUCAACUCAACACACAUUGGGACUUUAUUGAUCACAGGAAAAUUUUUUAUAUAAGCACUGAAUUAUGUACUUAUUGGAAUAAGAGGCAGGAGGAUUUAAAUUACAUUUUGUUCAUGAAUUUUGUAACACAAAAAGAAAAGAAAAAGAACAAAAAAGGGCAGAGCACUAAAUUUCCUCUGCUUCGAAAAACACACUUGAAAUGUUGCAUAAAUAGCCUGCAGAUCUCAGGUGGUCAGUUAAUUGAUCAAGCAUUGCAUAGAUGCUGCUCGAUAUUUUAUGUCUUUUGUCGUCAACCAUGAAUUCAUAAAUACAACCAUCGAUCUCGAUCGAGCUAAUUGCUCUACCCUUUUUGAUCCCACGGUCUAUCAUCAGUUUCCUAAUCUUCUUCACAUCCUCCCAUCUUUGAGCUUCCCAAUAUAUGUUUGAGAUAAGCACAUAAAGCCCUCCACUGUGCGGCUCCAACUCCAAUAGCUGUUUUAGAAUUUGCUUUCCAAUCUCUACAUUUCCAUGAAUCCUACAGGCACCUAGCAAAGCACCCCAAACCACAACAUCCGGCUUCAUUGGCAUUCUUCCUAUCAGCUCAAUAGCCUCCCCCAAGAGGCCCCCUCGCCCAAGUAGAUCCACCAUGCAAGCAUAAUGCUCUAUUUCACGCGGUACUCUGUAAAUCACACCCAUUCUGUCAAAGUAAUAUAGGCCCAUGUCUACGAGGCCGCUAUGACUGCAAGCAGAAAGCAACCCUGUCAAUGUGAUCUCAUCAGGCAACGUCCCAUCAGCUUGCAUCUCCUCAAAGAGCUUGAUUGCUUCCAAUCCACACCCAUGCAGUGCAAGCGCCCCAAUGAUGACAUUCCAUGACACCAAAUUCUUCCCUGGCAUUUCCAAAAAGAUGUCCAGGGCGGUUACAACAGGACCACAUUUUGCAUACAUGUCUAUAAGGGAAUUAUACAGUGUAACACCAUAUGCGCCUUUGUUACUGAGUAUGUAAUUGUGGAUUUUCUUUCCCAUGACCAAAUCACCAAGUUGACUACAAGCUGCAAGAAUGCUAACCAGGGUAGCCUCAUCAGGCACCACUCUUGAAUUACGCAUCUUGUUGAAGAGAUCCAAGGCUUCCCUGUAUUGACCUUCCCGAAGGUAGCAAGAAAUCAUAGAAUUCCAAGAAACAACAUUUUUCCCAGGCAUUUGGUCAAAAAUUUGACGAGCAACUUCAAUGGACCCAUGUUGAGCGUAGGCACUAAUCAUUGAAGUCCAUGACACCACGUUUUUCUCCUGGGUUCGGUCAAAAAUUGCUUGAGCUGAAUGCAAAUUCCCACACUUAGCAUACAUAUCCACGAGAGCAUUUCUCACUAUUAUAUCAAUCUUAACCCCAGUAAUCUCUAUACAAAAGUGCACAUAUCUUCCCAAAUCUAAAUCACGACUUUGAGAACACACAGAAAGCAGAUUAACAAAAGUAAACCCAUCAGGUUCCAUUCCCCAUUCUCUCAUCUUCCGAAACAGCAAAAAGGCUUCCUUCCAAUUACCCAUAUGAGCAUACCCACCAAUCAUCGAAUUCCAAGAAACGAGAGUUUUAUCAGUAAUAUCAUCAAACAGUUUCCGCGCACAAUGAAUCAACCCACAAACAACAUAAACAGCAAUGAGAGCAUUUUGCACAAAAACUAGGGAUCCAAUUCCCAAUUUGAUGGCGAGCCCAUGAACAAGAACAGCUUCCCAGUAUGCUGAUUUGCAACCACAAGCCUUAAGAACGAAAGGCAAAGUGAAUUCAUUGGGGGAAAGGCCAGAACAAAUCAUCCGACGGAAAAGUAAAACAGCGUCUAUUGGGUCAUCACUAUUUGAAUACCCCCUAAUCAAACUAUUGUACAUGAAUUUGUUGGGUUGGGGUAUUUGGUCGAACAUGCGCUGCGCAUAUUGGAGAUCGCCGGCAUCAUCAACAGCACAGAAAGAAAUCAAUUUACCAAGCGUAAGGGUCUCAUUGGUCAAUCCGUGGAGGAUGAUUUGGGCAUGCAGCAGCUUGAGUCCUCUCAUGGAUGAGCAUUUUUCUGCAAGGAAAUGGAGGGUUUGAUGAGAGGGUGACUUGAGUUGGUGUGUGGAACAAAAAGCUUUGCGUAAGGAAUGGACAGAAGAGAGAGUGUGCUUAAGGCGGGAACCAACAGUCAAAUAUUUGAGAAGAGAGAACAUGUUUGAUCAUUUGGGUUUGAAAGGAAUUAGGAAUGCCAAAGCCAAAGCCAACUGAUUUUUCAAUUUUAUGUUAACGCGGGAAAGUAAGUGAGCUCGUCUAAACGGCGUCGUUUGUAUGUCAAGCCUUUAUGUUGAGUUGGGCCACAUAAAAAGUCACCAAAAGGGAUUGGACCCAUAUUAAUACAAAAAACUAAAAAAAAUUAUCUAUAUAUCUCUGUUUCAUCAUUCAAAUCCCAAAACUUAACAUUUAAUCCAUUCAUUCUUAUUUGAAGUUAGGUCAAAUCAAGUAGUAAUUGGCCUUUCCUAGUUUAUCAAAUACACAUUGCUACAAUUGCAUCAUUCAAGAUUUUAAAUUUACAGGUUGAAGGCUAUCUUAAUUUGUACCAUACCGUGACUUUAUCAAUGGCUAAUUUGAUUUCUAUAACAAACGGCAAUGGCCAGACAAAGGAGAAAAUUACAAGGAGGGGAGGCGCCAAAGGUUGAAGAGCGAAGAGGCUAAUGAAAGAAACCAAGACAAGAAGGCCAUAGCGGCUGACAGCUGAUAUCUACCGCAUAACCUUGCUGGGCAGUGGGAUCCAUUAACAUUGAGCAGGAGAUCCGUGACCCCAGCUGUUGAGCAGGCUGCGGCUAAAGAGAGAAAUGAGAGAACCUGUGAUGGAAUAUAUAACCAGAAACUUUCAGAAUUCAUAGGAUGUCGCUCGUAAGGUUGUUGAUGAAUCCAAAGAUUGCACAUACCCAAUCCCCUAUGAUGACGACCAACAUUAUUCCUGGUUGAUGCAGAGGACAUUUAACAAAGACAGAGUAUGCAUCCACCAGUGACAGUGUCAAACUCCAUGGAAUUACCAAGCCCAUAACUGUUACCAAGAAGCUGCAAAAUCAACAUGAACAAUGACAUUGCAGGAAAGAAAUGAUCCAGAAGAUUUUCCUGUUCCAUAAUAAAAUCGAAAAAAGGUACAAAGUAAUUCACAUUUAGUCAACACAAUUAUGCAACUCUUUGGAAACUUGAAGCAAAUUGGAAGGCCAAGUUCUCUCUCUUGCAUGCUCAAAACCCCCAGGUCCAAACCAGAGGAACUGGCACUAUAUUUCCGAUACUGGAUGUCACAGGGCUUGCAUGUUACGAACAAACCAACAACCAAACUAGGGGGGAAGUUUCAAAAAGGUUGAAUAAACUGAUGGAAAAUAACUUCAAUUGAUAAAUAGAAUGAAAAAUCUUAACAUGAUAGUUUUAUAGAGAAGAAACAACCUUUAGGUUAAAAAUUUUCUACUCAAUUUUUUAUUACAUUAUAGAUGCUGCAGCCAGUGGAUGAUGCAGAAAAUCAGUAAUCAGAAAUCAAACAUGUAAAGUUGCGUAGUUUCUUAAGUAUAGACCUAAAAAGAACCCAACAGACAUGUGCUCUUAUAAAUUGAAGAAGAUUAAGAAAACCAGCCACCAAAGAACCACAUAUCACUUUUACAAAGUUCAUCCACAAUGACUUACAUCCAUGGACUAUCUAGCAAUGGAAAUUUCACCACUGAGGAGAAAUUACAAUGACAAUGAAAAAAAAAAUUUACAAAAUAUAUUCAUAUUUUUGCCCUCACCACCCUUUUGUCACUCCAGAAUGACAGCAUGAUGACACCAAUCAAAACAACUUAGGCCUUUACAGUUUAUAACAAGUGGGAACCAGCCCAAGACAUUGAAAUAGACCACAGACUAAAACCUUAUUCUAAUUCCUCAUGCUAUUCCUCUAGCAUUCUCUUUCUUUAAUGCAUGGCAUUUUAGCCAAAAUGAUUCUCCAAAAGGAAACAUAUCUACCUUAUAACUAAAACAUUGACAACUUCACCCCGCAACCUUGAUAGCAAAACAUGCUAGGCUUAUCAUACCAUACCUUGCCUUCAAGUCAAAAGAAAUGGAAGACCCUGCAACCUUUCCUAAUUGAACAGCACUGAUGAGUGUGCCCACAUAAUUUUCUUUCAUGCGCUUUCUGACUAGCACAAUACUUGCUGACACACACUUGUUGUAGCCAAGCCAUUCCAACCACUUCGUUAUGGCCCAAUAGCUUGUACAAUUCCCAGUUAAAUUCCAUUGGCAUUACAAAUACACCAGCUGAAAUCAUCAGCAGGCAAAACCAGCUGUCUAACUUGGAAACAUCAAAAUCCAAUUUGAAAAGUCAAGCCAUGAUAUUUUUCAAUAUGUUUUACAUCAUCAAGAAGGUUACCAAUGUUGAGCAUAAAACCAGCUCCAAGAACCUUAUUCUUUAAGUUAGUUCUCAUCAGCAUUAACCACCUCACAUGCCUGAGGCCACCUAUGGCCUAUCUAAGCAGUGCACAUGUAAUGAUUUGCAUCACUACCAUCCAAUUUAUACAGGAUCAAGUUUGCUUUGCCAACAUAUAGUCCAUCUUCAAUGAAGCCGAUAUUGAUACUCUAAUUCCAGUUGCUUUGCAUCACUAUUUUUCUCCAAAUUAGAGUCUUUAGAUGACCCUAACCAUACUGAAAAAAGCUGCAUCUGAUAGGCAAAAAUAAAUAUGACCAACUUUUCUUCCUCACCAUCAAUCAAUGCAACAAGCACUGUCCAUAAAACAUCCUAAUGCCUUGGUAUUACUUGUUGCAACUAGUUCUACAGCAUAAAUUUGAUUCCCAGAUACAAGAAAUUCCCUAAUUUCUUAAUUAUGGCAUCCUGUCAAAAGCUUAAGAAUGUAGAGCAAGAAUAAAUCAAGGAACAUAGGAACAUAAAACAAAAACAAAAAUUAUAAUAAUAACAAUAAUAAUAAUACUAAUUGCAAACCAGAAGAGAAGCAAUUGACAUGCCUCCUAUGCUAAGUGGCACUCUUACACUCAAUCCAUCAGUUUGCUGAAACAUGAGCAAUCCUUCUCCAGUACUCGAUACACAGAGGGAUAAGGCAUUCCCAUGGCUCUCCACUCAUUCAACUUAUUAUUAGUUUCUCAUAAAUCUUCUAAUUGUGGAUGCUUGGGGAUCCAUAUGCACACAAAGCUAAGCAUAUUUGACGAAAAUGCGAGAAGGGUAUUUUUACAAUUCGGGUUCCAUCUCCCAGUUCAUACUUGUGAAGUUCUCCAACACGAGAAAGAAGAUAUGGAUUUCUCAAAAUGCUUGUCACAAAAUAAAUUUUGUAUAGCAAACCCAUCUACCAACCAUAGAAUCUCCAAUACUACAGUAGAAAAUCAGAGGAAACAGAGGAAAGGGCACGGAUAUUGAAGGUUAAAUCCAAUUUAAAGAUAAUUUGGAGAAAUUGGGAUUACCAGAAGGCCGUAUAACUGUAGAAUUCAACAUCCAAACACAUGAAGAGAAGGGCGGCAGAGGAAAAGAUGGUCUGCCCCAUCCGCAGAGACAAGCUGGCGCUGGUGCCCAAAGCCCCAGGAAGUUCAUCCAUGGCGCAUGUAAUUCACGGUGCCGCAAACCAAAAUGCUCAUCAUACCCAUUCAACUCUCCAUCCCAAAAUUCCCAUUGCCCAGACAAACAAGAUUAUGGGAAAUUGGCCGACAAACAAUUCAAACUAAGCUCGAAACAAUCUUUUCCUUUUCUUCCAACAAAAUGAAAUUCCGAGAAAAGGAAAGGAAAAAGGAGAGCAUAAUCGUGACGGCGCCACGCGGGUUCCUGCCCCCUAUGGACACGAAGACACGCAACGUGGAAUUGUGCCGGUCGUCAGGUUACGUGUGUGACUUCCACGCGUGUAAAAAUGGAGAAUGGAAUUUUCACCUUUAAGACCCAGGAGUUUGGUCGUAGUUCUGGGUAAAGUUAAAGACGGUUUUCCGAGAGAGAAGAUGCCGGUAUUAUAUUUCUUGACAUAGUGCCCCAUGAAAGUCGACUUUGACAUAGUAACAGUGCCCAGUGCUCACUCUACUUGGAGUUUGGAUUGUGAAAAGAUUGCUGCAAAUCCUCUGCCAUCGCACCUUCUGGAGGGGGCUUCCCGUGUGACCACGUGGCAGGUCACAUUUGCUCUAUGUGGCAUCCUUCUAUCUCUAUCCGGGCAAACGUAAUCCCAUUUUGGCAUUUUUUAUUUCCGGAGUUUUAGCUCCGAUUAGUAAAGGACCAUAUAAACUUUCUAGUUAUGAAUCGGGUAUAGAACCAAUGGACAAUGUUUGGUUACAAUUUCGAAUCUGUUAUUAUAUGUUCACUCUAGUUUUUGUCUUUUUUUUUAUCAGAUCUUAAUAUCCAAUCCGGAUUAAAAGUAUCAGUAGUCGGUCGGUGUUCCUUUAAAAAAACUACACAAUGCAUUUCUAAUGGGUUUUCUGAUCCACUCCCACGAGCAAUCAUUCUUCUCAUACUAGAAGCACGCUUGAUGGGACGUUACUCUAUCUCUACAUGCGACCUGAUACAUGCUACACCAUAUUGUCUGCAGACUGAGGUGACAAGUGAACCAUUAGGUCACCCUCACUAGCAAUCCCUCUCAGCCGCCUAAAGGGUGAUGAUUGCUCUGUCACCAACUGUGCUGUCAUCAUGACUACAAAAGCCAAGAAGUCAUCUCAGCACAAAUGUCACACCGUUUCAAACACUAUAAAAGUCCUUCUCCAAUUCAAAAUCAAGGUACAUGUGUACGUAACAUAAACUCCUUCUUAAGCUCCUACAAGGGGGAAACUCAAAGAUUGACUUUAAUCAUCUUACUUAAGCUUCGGAUGGUGUGUCUGGACAACCUGUCUGGACAUUUUUUGCAAGGAAGAAGGGAGAAGCAUUGCUCCCAAUUGACCAGGCUUCAACACCUGUCCGGACAUUUUUUAUAGGGAAGAAGGGAGAAGCACUGCUCCCUAUUGACCAGGCUUCAACACCUUCGAAAUGGGAAUUACUGUGCUGGUUGUUGGGUUUUCGUUGCAAACGUGGGGUGUAUGGUCUGUGCGGUCUUCUACUCGUAUAUAUAUCUUUAUCUUGGAGGAGGUGCCCUCCUAGUGGGCCGCGGCUGCCCUGCCCUGCCCUUGUGGUUGUGGGUAUGCCAUAUGUGGUUUGCCAGUGCCUCCAUAUUUGUAUGUCACCAAACCAAAGGCUUGAAAUACUAAGAACAAGGAAUAAUCCGCGUCCCAGCAACAGAGUGACAACCCAAAAUAGAAAAUAUGUCAACUAUGUGUGUGUAUUCUUGUAUUGCAAGGGAAAGGAAAAAAAAAAAGUGAGUUAGCAGAGAAGUCCCAUUUUUAGGAGUCAGUAAGGCGUAGGAACAACUCUCCAUUUAAUUCUACAAGACACACCAACAAUGAUUAUCCUUGUUUUUACACCCAAGCAAUAUGCCUAUUCAUUGGAAACUUGCGUCUUACAAACACCAUAGAGUAUAAAAUAGUGUGGAUAAUCCAAGUAGUUGUGACUUAUUGGAGGACUGCAUCUGAAUAAGAGUAACGCGUGGUUUUAUUAACAGUGGGAAGGAACGGGCCAGUGCCCUUGAUAAGGGAGAAUCAAAUUCUCCAUGAUAGCAUUCCUUUUCUGUUAGCAUAAUAUCCGUUUGUAUAACUGUAGGGAUAUGCUCAAUAUUUGUAUUUGAUUCUUUCCUAUUAUGUAGGAGUUUACAACUGUAAUUAUCGUGUAUAUAAUGAAGAGUUAUCUCCUCAUCCGGUAAGGAGGAUUUCAGUCAUUUACCGUGUUUAUCAAACACCUUUAUGGUAUCAGAGCAAGGUUUCUUUCGAUUCUGACCAUGGUUGUUUCGUCUUCUUCACCUCCUACUCUUCCGCUCAAUAUAAUGGUGCAUAUGCUCACCAUUAAACUGACCUCCUCCAAUUAUCUAUUGUGGAGAAAUCAAUUUGUUCCUCUGCUAGCUAGUCAAGAGCUUUUUGGUUAUUUGGACGGUAGCAUCACGACUCCUUCUCCCAUGAUUACUGCCUCUGAUGGCACCCCAAAAUCCAAUCCUGCAUAUACCUCUUAGCUGCAUACCGAUCAGACACUGCUCAGUUUACUCUAUUCUUCUCUCACAGAGGAAUCUAUGAGUGAGGUAUUGGGUUUCCGUCACUCCCACGAGGCUUGGCAUGCGCUUGAAGUCUCAUUUUCGCACCGAUCAAAGACUCGCGAACUGCAACUCAAUGAUGAACUCCAGCUGAUGCACCGUGGCUCUCAGUCCAUUGCUGAGUUUUCUCGCACCUUCAAAGGCCUUUGCAAUCAACUAGCUGCUAUUGGAUGUCCCAUUGAUGACACGGAUAAAGUCCACUGGUACCUACGUGCAUUGGGACCCGACUACAAGAUCUUUUCUACCAUCAUGAUGUCACAACUUCCUCUACCAUCCUUUGUUGAAAUUGUUCCGAAAGCUUUGAGCCAUGAAAUCUUUGAACGGUCAGUCUCCCAUUCAUCUUCCAACUCUGCUUAUUUUGUGCAGCAAACUUCCAAAGUGGCUGGUCACAAGCAAGUGAAGCAUCGGUCUUCAACUUCUCCUACAUCGUUUUCCAACUCAAAGUCAUCAUCCAACUCCUCCGUCCACUGUCAAUUGUGCGACAAAGAGGGCCACUUGGCUAAACGUUGCUGGAAUUUCCUGAAACUCAAGAAGAAGCAAUCGGCUAACCUUGCUGAGGCUUUUUUUGCCUGCUCGAUUUAGGAUUUUAAUGACUCUGAAUGGUUCCUUGACUCUGGUGCAACGUCUCACAUGACUAGUGACACCGAAGGUGUGAAUCAACCGGCUGUCUAUUCUGGUAAUGAAUGUGUCAUGGUUGGAAAUGGUCAAUCCUUAGCAAUCUCUCACACUGGUUCCAUUUCAUCUCUUGUUCCGUCUAGUCCUCUUCUUUUAUCUAAUGUCUUAGUUGUUCCUGAAAUUAAGAAAAAUCUUAUUUCUAUUAGUCAACUUACUAAAGACAAUAAUUGUUGUGUUACCUUUUCUUCCUCUGGUUUUACCAUACAGGAUCGGGUCACAAGAGUGGUACUGGGAGUCGGAAGAUGUGAAAAUGGUCUCUACGUGUUGGAUCGUCGUCAUCAUGCCUUAGUGUCCACUACUUCUUCACCGCGAGCAUCUGUUCGUUUAUGGCAUACUCGCCUUGGUCAUCCACAUUAUCGUACUGUUGCUUCUCUUUCUAAAUUAGGAUCUAUUUCUUGUAGUAAUAAAUUGGUGAACAAUGAUUCUGAAAUUUGUGUUGGUUGUAGACUCGGCAAAAGCCACCGUUUACCUUUUUCUCUAAAUAAUGAACGUUGUGCUAUGCCUUUUGAUCGUUUACACUGUGACCUAUGGGGUCCAUCACCAGUUUCUUCUUUUAAUGGAUAUAGAUACUAUGCGGUUUUCAUUGAUGAUUGUACUAGAUUUAGUUGGAUAUUUCCUUUAAAACACAAAUCUGAUUUAUUUGAUAAUUUCAUCAAUUUACAACGUUUUAUUGAGACACAGUUUUCCGCCAAAAUCAAAUCAUUUCAGUGUGAUGGUGGAACUAAGUUUACUAAUAAUAAGUUUUGCUCUCAUUUGCAUUCGUGUGGCAUUGAUCUUCGUCUGGCAUGUCCUUACACUCCUAGUCAAAAUGGAAUUGCCGAACGUAAGCAUCGUCAUGUCACAGAAACAAGUCUUACUCUUAUGUUUCAUGCUCGUGUGCCGCUUUCCUUAUGGGUUGAGGCUUUCUCUACUGCCGUCUUUCUCAUUAACCGACUCCCGUCACCAUCUCUUGCUGGCAAAACACCUUAUGAGCUCCUGUUUGGUAAGCAACCCGAUUAUUCUAUGCUUCGUACUUUUGGGUGUCUUUGCUUCCCUUAUUUGAGAGAUUACUCACCUAAUAAAUUGUCUCCAAAAUCUACUCCUUUUGUCUUUUUAGGUUACAGUACCCUUCAUAAAGGAUUUCGGUGCUUAGAUCGUAAGACACAUCGUGUCUAUGUUUCUCGACAUGUGCAGUUUUAUGAACAUACCUUUCCCUAUAAUGGUGAUUCUGUGCAAAAUCUGCCAUCUAACAUUGACUAUAUUCAUUUUUCUGAGUCUCAGGAAUGUGUUUCUAGUUCUUCUAACGUUAGUACUUCAGAUUCUUUGUCUUCACCAUCUUUCUCGAAUUCACUGUGUCUACCUUGCAAUGAUAUUCCACACUUGUCUUCGACUUCUUCUCCUGGUCCGCAAGUUCCUCUUGAUGAGGACUCUCUCUUGGAUUCUAUUGCUACAGAUUCGACCACUCCUUCACCAGUUUCGUCCUCUCCUCGUGUGACCACUUCCAGCCAUCCGAUGAUUACUAGAGGGAAAGCUGGUAUAUUCAAACCACGGUUGUAUCAUGCUAUGCAUAUCUCAUCUUCUUCUCAGUUGUUUCAGGCUCUUCUUGCUCUCAAAGAGCCACGCGGCUUCAAGUCUGCUGCAAAACACCCUGAAUGGCUCUCGGCUAUGGAUGAUGAAAUUCACACACUGAAGAAAAAUGAUACGUGGGUUCUUGUACCUCGUCCUCAACAUCAUAAUGUGGUUGGCUGUCGCUGGAUUUUCAAAACAAAGCUUCACUCUGAUGGGUCUAUUGAGCGUCAUAAGGCACGUCUUGUGGCUCAAGGAUUUUCUCAAGUUCAUGGUCUUGAUUUUGGUGACACCUUUAGCCCUGUGGUGCAUCCUGCUAUAGUCAGAAUCAUUCUAUCAUUGGCUGUUACUUCUGGAUGGCGUUUACAUCAGCUAGAUGUUAAAAAUGUCUUUCUUCAUGGCUUUCUCAACGAAGAGGUGUACAUGGAACAACCGCCUGGCUACACUGAUCCACAUUUUCCUCAGCAUGUUUGUUGUCUAAAACGUGCUCUUUAUGGCUUGAAACAAGCUCCUCAAGCUUGGUUUCAUCACUAGAAGUACUCCUUCUCUAGUUCACACCUUUAUUACUCGGCUUUCCAACGAAUUCUCCAUGAAGGAUUUGGGUGAUCUUCAUUAUUUUCUCAGAGUUGAAGUCCAAGCUAAUGAGAAGGGUCUAUUUCUCAAUCAAAUGAAGUAUGCUCUUGAUCUCUUACAACGUGCUUCAAUGAUUGAUGCCAAGCCUAUUUCUACACCUUUUGUUGUUGGACAACAUCUAUCCGCCGAAGGGACUCUAUUCUCCAACCCUACUCUGUUUCGUUCUCUUGCCGGUGCUCUUCAAUACCUCACGAUCACCAGGCCUGAUUUGUCCUUCAGUGUCAACUCCAUUUGCCAGUUCAUGCAUGCUCCCACCGAGGAUCAUUUUCGUGCUCUCAAGCGUAUCUUGCGCUAUGUUAAAGGCACUGCUCAUCAUGGUCUCCAACUUCACAAACAGUCCACUCGUGAUCUUCUUGGCUACUCUGAUGCGGACUGGGCUGGAUGUCCUGAUAUACGUCGUUCUACUACCGGCUAUGCUAUCUUUUUUGGAGCUAAUUUAAUCUCUUGGUNNNNNNNNNNNNNNNNNNNNNNNNNNNNNNNNNNNNNNNNNNNNNNNNNNNNNNNNNNNNNNNNNNNNNNNNNNNNNNNNNNNNNNNNNNNNNNNNNNNNUAUCUUUUUUGGAGCUAAUUUAAUCUCUUGGUCUUCCAAGAAACAAAGCAUUGUCUCUCAUUCAAGUGCAGAAGCCGAAUAUCGCUCCUUAGCUAUUGCUACUGCUGAUAUUGCAUGGAUUAUUCAGUUGCUUCGGGACCUUCAUGUUACACUCUCAAUGCCACCUAAAAUUCUUUGUGACAAUCAAAGUGCAAUUUUUAUGGCAGUCAAUCCGGUUACUCGUCCUCGAUCCAAACAUAUUGCAAUCGACUACCAUUUUGUUCGUGAACUUGUUGAUAAAGGCACUUUGAAAAUUGAUUUUGUUCCUUCCCAUCUACAGCUUGCUAAUUCACUGACCAAAGGAGUUACCAAGCCACAGUUCUAUCUCUUUCGAAGCAAGCUCAGCGUUCUCCCUUCUACCACGCUCACCUUGCAGGGGGGUGAUAAGGGAGAAUCAAAUUCUCCAUGAUAGCAUUCCUUUUCUGUUAGCAUAAUAUCCGUUUGUAUAGCUGUAGGGAUAUGCUCAAUAUUUGUAUUUGAUUCUUUCCUAUUAUGUAGGAAUUUACAACUGUAAUUAUCGUGUAUAUAAUGAAGAGUUAUCUCCUCAUCCGGUAAGGAGGAUUUCAAUCAUUUACUGUGUUUAUCAAACACCUUUAGCCCUGAUACCCUGAUUCUUGGCAACUGUAUCAUAGCAUAUUGGAUAAUUUGGAUGCAGAUGGUCUAUCCUAACCACCAUAGACCUUUAUGAAAUCUCCAAACAUUACAUUAGAAGCCAUGAUAAUAAAUAAUAUACAAACAAGAUAAUAGUUUCAGCUUGUCCGGGGUCACAGGGAAGUCUUAGCAACACCUUUGAGCUUAAAACAAAAUCUGAACCGAGAGAUACAUCCAUAAAGAAAAGGCUCUACGACUCAAGCUGACCGUACCAGAACCCCUGGAUCUUCACUUCCUUUGGUGUCUUAGCCCCCAAGUCAGUGUCAGAUGGCUGAAUGCUCUCAAAUACUCCAAUCACUUCCCCAGUCUCAGGCUUGCUUUUGGUGACACUUAAAGUGAUUUUCCCUGUUGACGAUGACGCGUCCUUUAUAUUCUCCUUUUUGAGUUCUUCCUCAUCUCCUCUCCCGCCUGCUGGCAAUGCAACUGCGUUGUCAUAGCCAGUUGAACCACCCCUUCCCUUUGGGUCCAAGAAGGACGAACCCCGGUAGGAUGGUACCAGAAACUCUCCUCCAAAUUUGUCUGGUUUGCCGGAUGCAACGAGCUGUUUGAUGGUGAAGAGGAAGGGCACACGCUCACCACCGGGCAGCUGAACAGUGACAGCAGCAUAGUCAAUUCCAUCUUUCUCCUCAAACUUAACGGUGCCAUCACUAGAUACUUCAAAUGGUCCCUCAAUCUCAUCAAGGGUGUAUGUUAACCGAGUCAUGAGCUUGGUGUUUUGGAAUUCAGGUGGAGCAUUCUUGCUCACCCCCUCAGCCUUGACGGUGAAUGAUGUAGGCUCUAAGCAGAACUUCUUCAGUUGGUAUUUUCCAGACUUGAAGGCAAAUGAAUCGACCCCUCCGUCAAUGGUUGGGCAUUGGUUAGCAGUUCCAGUUCCCUUUACUUCCAUGUAUGUCUUACUCUGGAUCUCAUCGUAUGUCAGCCGCUUUGGAGCUCCUUCUGCACUUGCUCCCUAAAAACCAAAAUAUUUUUCUUGAAGAUCAGAUGUUAAAAGCAUAAAUUAGAAUAACAGCACUAGUGUCUUAUAGGAUCAAUAUCUGCAUGCUAAAUAUAUCAGUACAGCAUAAAAUGCUCAAAAAGUUGCAGUGCUUCACGAUGUCAUUGUUUUGGAUGACAAUUUUGGAUUUGAAAACCAUAAUUUUGCUUGGCAUUGCCUUGCUCUUGGCAAUGCACAGCGGCCUUGAAAAACCCCUUAGUGGGUUCUGAAUUAUUUAAGUAGUUGAGUUGCAUAAAUGAAACCAUUUUAGUAUUUUCCUCAUACAAAAUUUGAUUCAAGGCUUUGGUAGUACUGGCUGCGAGUUAUUUCAGUGAUUAUGAAAUGGAAAACCAAUGAAAAAUUGUCAAUCUCCUGCAUACAAUAUGAGCCCAGACUAACAGUAAUAACAGAGGGAAGCAUCGCAAAGCCAACCUCUGGCUUGUGAGAGACAAAGGAACCAACUCAGCUAGCUGCAUAUGAUAAAUUUAUGAAGGUCGCCAAGCCAUAAGGCCUAAUUUGGAAAACCAUGUCAUACAGAAAAUCAAACACAACACACCCAACAUUGUCAAUGAGUGCUUGGUCAGAGGGCUGAGUCACUACCCCUUGUAUUGUUGCUAACAACUUCAUAUUAUACCAAAGCAACCUUUAUCUUUGAUUAGGGAAUAAAAAAAGGUAACUUUUAAGCAAUUUGAGAACAAUCCAGAUCAAAUAGUGUAGCAUAUUUAUAUCCUGGGAAAUUUUGAAGAGGCAUCUCAAUAUCAGAGAAUUUAGCAAAAGUAAAGGGGCAUGUAGGCUCAGAAGUUUCACUAGAAACGUGAAGAGCAAUUUGAAAGUGGCAGCCAGUUUAUUUGGUAGAGCUUGUGGAAUGUCAUACCCUACCCCCAAAUUCAAGUUUAGUUCAAAUACCUUCUCCACCUCCUUCCCUGCUUAUCAGGCUAUAUAUGACAUGGUCGCAACUCGCAAGUAUAUAAUUGAAAAAAAAAUGGCAAACUAUCGAAGAUACGCGUUGCAUCAAGCUGCACCUGAUGAUCCAUACUUUUUUAUGUGGAUUAUCGAAAGCCAAAAGCAAAUAAACGAGUUAGUGGUGCUCACCGAGACGAGGAGAGCAGAAGUGGCAAGAGCAAAGCCGGCGAUCUUAGUGGCAUCCACGCACUUGUGAGCCAAGUCCUUGAGAUCAGCCUGCAAAGAGCAAGUGAACCUGGCUCCAGCGGGUUCCAAGCCAAAGGCCUUGCAUACACUCUGGGAAGAUCUCAAUUGCAGGCUGGUACGAGUUGGCACGCCCACCUUGGUGGGCUGCAUCAGCGUGGCCGCUGCUUGCAAUGAGGCUGCCAUUUUUUUCUCUUCUUUGCUAUCACUGGCUAGUGAGUGUGGAGGAGUCUCUGCCUACCACCUUACAAACUAUAGAAAAGGAAGCGUUUGGUGUGUGGCGGAGAGAGAAUAGAGGCCCAAUGAUUUGGUGGCUUCGGCUUGAGUUAGAUAAGAGGAUCGGAUAAGGUCUUCCCUUAUUGGUCCAUUCUGGCUAAUGUCCAUUGCCUUCAUUGUUUGCCACGUUGCCAGAUUCUUAUCUGGGAUAAACGUACUCUCCUCUCUUCUUUUUAAUUCGUUUCUUUGUAUGUUGUUUGUAUUUUUAUUUUUAUUUCUUAAUUAAAAUGUUAACACAUCAGAGACUUGACCAAGAAUAAAAACUAUGAUUUUCAAUUACAAUGCAUUCUAAUCUUCCCAUUAGGAGAUAUAAAUUGAGCUCCAUUCACAAUUCUAAAUAUUUGGGCCAGAACCCUCCCAUCGGGGCACCCAACCCUCCAAUUUGAGCCACUAGAUUUAAAAAAAAAAAAUGUUUUAAUUAUUAAUUUCAUAAUUAAUAUGGCCUAAGUUAUCUUACCAAAUAUAUUCAAAUUAGCUCAAAGGAUUUCGGGUCUUGGGUUGCACCAUAAAAGAAUCUCACUAUCAACUCGGGUGUCACCCAUCCAGCUCAUAGGCUUUAUACUUCACAUAUACUUGCCAGGAAGUGGAUUGCGAACCGGGUCAUAAAUAUCUACCCAUUAUUCUGAGGCAGCCCGUUAGUGAGGGAUCGAGGGUUGCCAAUGUGCUGGUCUGAGUUAAGACUCUUUUGCACUACCGCUUAGCAUGAUUCACCUCCGUUCAUGUGGGGGAAGUUUCAAGAUCCAACUAAUUAAGUCACAGGUCAUAAUAAAAGUGUAUUCAUUCAUUAAUUAAGAUUCAUACUAAUCCAUAAAGACAUGUCUAAUUAUGUCAUUUCAAAAACAAGCAUCUGAGGGGGGGUUGAGGUCGCUACUCGUCAUCUUGAUAAGGAACUAUUGUCCAGGGAUUAGCACACCCGGGCAUCGAAGGGAGCUUGUUUGGAUAAAACUAUGUUGACCACGUAAUGUAAAGAGAGCAACUCUUAGAACACAACAAAACUAAAUCUAGGUGACACCAGACAGGCCCGUUAAAUAUGUAAGUUUGUAACAUAGCCACUAUUGAGAUUGGAGAGAUGUGACCAAUCCUCCCUACCUGGCAAAGGACAGGUGACCUAAUCCAGGCCGAGUUACGUAGGGUGUCUGACCCAUUGUGGGUUGUCAUCUAUCCAAUAGGGCCAAUCAAGAAGAAGUGUCUAGUUAGCCCAUAAAGAUCGCUGUAUAAGCCGCACAACGAUAAAGGCAGAGAGGUACAUACUCUUCUUCUACUUAGCCAUUAGAUAGCUCAUUUCCAUGGUCCCUCGGAUUAUCCCUUUUGUUUCAAGACUAAUGAACUGAACAUCUCAAUUUUCAUGAAAAAUAACAUUGAACACUAAAUGGUAGACCUUUGAGCAGGGCCACAUUCACUGCACUGGUUUCAAUUUGGGAUCGAUCCAACUUCACUUUGAAUUAAGGAACCAAUCCGACUUCUAAUUCGGUGUGUUCAAUGCAAACCCAACACAACUUCAGGUUUUUCAAGUUUGAAUACCGCUUUGAGUUGUUCCAAUUGAAUGAAGCAAGCAAGUUUGAAUUCAACAAAAUUGUUUUAACCAUUAAAAAAAAAAAAAAAACCAAAAAAAGGUAGACACUUAACCAAAUCAUCCAACAAAAAAAAAAGUUCCACCUAAAUAUAAAGACAUCUCUAUUGGUUGUUUGCCUGUUUUCUAUUGUGCUCAUAGCCGCCACAUCCAUCACAACAUUGCCCUUUCCACCUGAAAAAAAUCUCUCCUUCCUUAAUCUUCUUGCUCAUCAUUUGAGUUUACAUCUCUACACAAUGCUUGAAUAUGCCAACAAUUAAUACCAAAACCACCAUAGUUUUCCAUAUUGUUAACCAUCAUCUGACGUUGCCAUAUGCAUAAAGCUUGUCAGCUGCUUUUGAGCUGACUGUCUUAACCCCUUUUCAUAUCUAACAAUGUAGAGUCCAUUUUUUUGGUCUACAAUAGGUGGGUGAUGUUUUAGAUUUCUUUUAUCAUAGAACAAAAAUGGUAAAAAGAAGUAGAAGAGAACAUAAAGGAAAUUCAAUUAUUGGUUGUUUAUAACCCCUGUUGGCAAAAAUCAUGGUUCUCUUCCUUCUCCAGCCAAAAUUGAUUGUUUUUCUAUUGUAAGCAUAUUGCUGAACAUUGAGAAGAAAAUAAUGAAGCGAGAACAGGGGUGUGAGAGACAGAGCAGCUCAACAGUGCUUGAAACGGAAUCAUAGGUUGUCCUCAAUCCACAACAUUGUGAAUUUCUUAUCAUCGCUGCAUUAUCAUCCUCUCAUCGACUAAGAACAACACUAACCAAACAUGACUCAGUUGAAGUUUCGGAAACCCUAGAAAAAAUUUGAGGGGAAAAGAGGGCAUUCAGAAUGAGUAGGAGGUUAUUAUUCAAUCAAGAAUCGUCAGAAAAUAAUUGUUACGUUCAUCAUCAUGCCCGACUUAUUACUACCAUCAUCAUAGUUUGUAAAAGAAACAAAUUCCUUUGUCAAGAAAAAAAAAAGUAGGAAUAAAAAAUAAAAAUAAAAAAAGAAAGGGGAGAAGAAGAGGGGUGUGGUUUCUCUCAGACAAAUGCCUCGUUUUGUCGUCAGGAUUUAUGGAAAGCAUGAAUGAUCGGACUCGUCAUCAUUUUACUAUCAUCACCGAGAAACUCACCAAACCCCGAUUCAAAACAAAAACAAAAACAAGAAAAGAAUGAUUGCUUCUCCUAAUCCCAGAAGUGGCAAGUACCUGAGACCAAUCAUCAUCAAAAGAGAGUUAGUGAGCUUUGGUAGUGGGGCUCAGCCACCCGCUGCUUAUCAUCUCUCCAACUCCAUUCGCCUUCUAUUUGUAGUGACACUGCCACCGCACUCCUAGGGUUAGGGUUAGGGUUUCUUCAAAUUUACCAAAAAUGGCACUAUUUCAAAUUGGAUCCCAAAUCCUAUAAACUUGGGCUAAGUUUGGGCUCAGGUUCGGACAUCCCCACCCAGCCCAAAUCCCCCAAGCCCAUCCCGUAUCCACGUUUAAAAUGCUGAGAUAUUUUAUUAUGAA